rnacentral:rRNA from 1 species
AGUGAACGCUGGCGGUAGGCCUAACACAUGCAAGUCGAACGGCAGCACAGUAAGAGCUUGCUCUUAGGGGUGGCGAGUGGCGGACGGGGGAGGAAUACAACGGAAUUUACUUUUUCGUGGGGGAUAACGUAGGGAAACUAACGCUAAUUCUGCAUAUGACCUACGGGUGAAAGUAGGGGAUCCUCGGACCAGGCGCGAUUGCAUGAGCCGAUGUCGGAUUAGCUAGUUGGCGGGGUAAAGGCCCACCAAGGCGACGAUCCGUAGUUGGUCAGAGCGGAUGAGCAGCCACACUGGAACGGAACCACGAUCCGGACCCCAACGCGAGGCGGCGGUGGGGAAUAUUAGACAAUGGGAGCAAGCCUAGUCCAGCCAUACCGCGUGGGUGGAGAAGGCCUUCUGGUUGUAAAGCCCUUUUGUUGUGAAAGAAAAACAGCAGGUUAAUACCCCGCUGUUCUGACGGUACCCAAAGAAUAAGCACCGGCUAACUUCGUG